GACGAACGCUGGCGGCGUGCUUAACACAUGCAAGUCGAACGGAAAGGCCCUGCUUUUGUGGGGUGCUCGAGUGGCGAACGGGUGAGUAACACGUGAGUAACCUGCCCUUGACUUUGGGAUAACUUCAGGAAACUGGGGCUAAUACCGGAUAGGAGCUCCUGCUGGAGGGUGGGGGGUGGAAAGUUUCGGCGGUUGGGGAUGGACUCGCGGCUUAUCAGCUUGUUGGUGGGGUAGUGGCUUACCAAGGCUUUGACGGGUAGCCGGCCUGAGAGGGUGACCGGCCACAUUGGGCCUGCGAUACGGCCCAGACUCCUACGGGAGGCAGCAGUGGGGAAUAUUGCACAAUGGGCGGAAGCCUGAUGCAGCAACGCCGCGUGCGGGAUGACGGCCUUCGGGUUGUAAACCGCUUUCGCCUGUGACGAAGCGUGAGUGACGGUAAUGGGUAAAGAAGCACCGGCUAACUACGUG
rnacentral:rRNA from 1 species